rnacentral:SRP_RNA from 1 species
UUUCCUGUCCUCUGCUGGUGGCUGUAUUA